rnacentral:lncRNA from 1 species
CCGAUUCGGCACCGAAGCUGACGGAGAAAGAGUUGUUCGAGUGGCGGGCGAUGAACUCCGUCAGCAGCGCUUCUGGAAGCAUCUUUGGAUGCUUGGUUUGUGAUGGGCUGUUCAACUCCUCCGGUGGGUGAGCGCAAGUUUUUUGGAAUAUCCCCAACAUUAUUACUAUUACUUGUUAAUUAUUUCUUUUUCUUUGUGUUGUUUCUUGUUUGUAGCUACUGAUUGAGAAGAAUUGAACAACUGGAUUAUAUAUAUAAAAAAUAUAUUAAGUAUUCAAGUGUGCAAACCGGGUGCUAGGGAGCGGGAGAAGUACACUGUUUUUUUUUUCAGAUAACGAUGCUGCUGCUGGAUGUUUCGGAAAGAAUUAUGUGAUGAUUAAUUGAUUUUUUUUAUAAUAAUAAAAUGUGACUGUUGUUUUAGAAUACCAAGAGAAGAACCUACGUCACUUAUGGGUGGAAGCUAGUGUAACGGUGCACAGGGGAUAAGAUUUCCCCUUCUUCAAUACUAAUAGUCUUAAUGUCUUAUCCAGUUAUCCUCCUCCUGCAAAUUAUUAUCGGUUUGUCUUAUUUACCUGAAUUAUUUUAUUACUGUUUCUCGGC